CCGAGCUACCGGGGGGGCAUCGCCGCGGGCCCGGGAACCAAUCCUCCUGUCGGCGGGGGCGUCCCUCCCUGCGGCUGGCUGGUGUCGGAACAAAAUGCCGACCGGAAGUGCAGCUGCAGGAAUGACUCCCUCCGCCGGCGCCAAACACUAACAACCACCCCCUCUUCCCCACUCCACUUCCGCCACCGCCGCCGCCGCCGCAGCCGCCGUCGCCGCCAGUCGGGCUCGCAGCUCGGCCUCAGAGGAACCGGUUCCCGCGGACCCGGGGCCUCGGCGGCGGCGACGGUGACGGCGGCGUUUCUUCUCGGCGUCCUUGUCCCGCCCUGGACGGCCGCCGCCCGCGGUGUCGCUCCUGCCGGCUGCCGGGCGGCGUAGCCCGGGGGCCCGGUUCUCCCCGGCUUGAGCGCUCCUGGAGGCGACAGCAGCCGGGCGCUGGGCCGGUGCGGUGGCCGAGCAGCCGGGCGCGCUCGCUCGUCUCGAGCGCUCCGGGCCUCACAGGCCGCGGACGGCGGCGAGCGGAGGUCGCCCUGCGCACCCUGCCUCGGCGGCCAUCAGCCCCGGGGAAGCCGAGCUCGGCCGGCCGGCCGGCCGGUGGAUGCCGACGGUGUGCCUUGUAAACGGUGUCCCCGCAGCCGUGAUGGAUGGAUCGCACGCCUCCCGUCCUUGGAGCGGCCGGACUCUAUCCGUCUGUGUUAUUUCUGCGGAGGACACAAUGCUCGGAGGGGAAGGCUCCCAGCCUGGCUGAGUUUGGAAUCGUGAUCGUGAUGCAUUAAGUUCUGGAAAUACACGGGCGCUGAUGGAUUUGCUUUUUUUUCUUUCUUUCUUUCUUUUUUGACGGUGGUUUGAUUCAUCCCUGAUAGUCGGGCUAAGGCCUGUAGGCGACGCUGUGCGAGCGAGGAGCGCGGCGGUCUCGGUGUGGGUGGAGCCGAGGCCGUCGGGACGCGGGGCACCGGAACCCGGGGACCGGCGCACUUCAGACGACGUUUUCCUCUUCAUGUUUGAAACUCAGGCACUGGACAAGGCUGGAGUACAAAAUGUGAAUAGACAUAUAGUACCGGGCCUGUCUGUAGUGUCUUAUUGUAAGACAAGAGGGAAUUCCAUCGCUACACAGCUUUCUCUAUUUUUUCUUUUUUGUAAAAGGGGGCUGUUCUUCAGGUAGGUAAGCGGAUUCUUCUCAGGAGGAAACAUACUAUUUUUUUUAAAUGAAUUAAGUUGUCAGCUUCAGAUUUUAUUCGUAUGUGUACAGAUGUGCUAGAAGGAUGUGGGGCAGCUCACCUACAGGUUUUUCUGUUUUUUUAGAAGUCGCUGGGGGCGAGGUAUUAAGAUUUUGUCUUUACUGCCCUCCUGACCCUGUGGAGUAAGUCAGGGGCUAACGAGUCUGUGAAGCAAGGAACGGGGAAGAAAGGAACCCGACUGGCGCCCUUGCAAAUAGAACUGUGUCUCGUCCUGCUGCUGCUGACUUUCCCCAGAGCGUCCGUUGAAGUUGUCUCCGUCUUCAGGGUUCCGCUCGGGUGCCACCUGGUGCCUCCACCGCUCCUGUUUACCUUCUAGGUUGGCGGCUUCCUUCUCAUUCCGUCAUCCGGGCUUUCAGUCUUGCCUUACUCUUUGCCCAGUAGUCCGGCAGCUUGAGGAGAUGAAGUUUAGCUUUCCUUCGCUGGUGUUCUGUGUGCAUCGCGCUGUGGAUGCCUCAGGCGCCCCCCUCCCUUAUUUCUGAACUCUACCCUUUAAUACGAGCUUAUCUAUACCUAAAAGAACAGAUGGUGAAAACAAGAAAAAAUAUAGACGGAACGGAGGUAAGUUUAUUAGAGGUCAGGAAAAGAUCGCUUCUGGACACUCGAAAGCUCAUAAAGGUGAUGGUUGCUUUUCUCUAGAUGAUGUGACAGAGGCCAGUGCACUUGUUGAUCAAAUGACCUUUCCCAUAGCGAGCUGAUUCACUGUGCUCUCGUGAGUCACAAAACUUCAUUCUUAAUCCUGUCUGCCCUCCUUGCAAAAUACACGCCGUUGUGACUAAACCGAAGUCUAAGAAUUUGGUGGGCUCAGCUAAAACACAGCACUACUAGGAGAGCUCAUUGAGCAAGUAUUUAUUGGUCACACAAUGUGCGGCACUGUGAGUCAAAAGGUGUAUGUUUCAAAGGCUGCCAGGCCCUGUAUAAAGGACCACAUAUGGCUGCUUUGGGUACUCUUAUUAUGCUGCUGUCGAGAAAAGCAAAAGCUAGAGGAGUUUACUUGUAGGUUUGCUAAAGAUUCUGUGAGAGAUGAGGGCAAGCUUCGUGUCAGUAUUUUACUCACCGCUGAGGGUGGUGUUGAUUUACCUUUGCUUACCUUAUUGUAGCACUUGAGAUACCAAUUGAAGAUGAUUUUGAAAACUAUAAAGGUAGGAAAUUUGAUUUCCUAGUAGCAGGAAAAGUAGGUCUUCACUACUUCACUAAAGCAGUAAACUGGAGCUGUAUAGAAAAGGCUUUAGUUAUAUUUUAAAUUUCUUUAUUUCAUUUAGAGUAUUCUUGGACAAGAAUACAGUUUUAAUAACUAUUUUACACCCAUUAGCUUAAAUAAUUAAAUAUUAUUUAGUUACAGUCAACAGUCUGCUUGAUAUUAAUUUUGAGAACAGAUUUAAGUAACUUACAAAUGGCUUAGAAUACUUUUCACUCAGUUUCAAAGUUCGUUUUCCUUAUGGAAGCACAAUUAUCUUCCUGUAUACUUUCUUGAAUGUUACUGGUGAGCUAUUAAUUUUGCAUGCCUCAGUAAAGACAGUUGAUAGGCUGUUUAGUACAAAGUCUUGGCAUGGUUGUAGCAUUUAAUCCAAACUUAAAUUUAAAAAACAUAAUUUGGUGUGUGCAUGUUAAUUUGUGAGGGUGUAUAUGUGUGGAAGCCAGAGGUGAAUUAAGGUGUCAUUCCCCAGAAGCUGCCAACUUUUUUUUUUUUUAAGAGAAGGUUUCUCCUGGGAUUUGGGAAUCUGAUUAGGUAAACUAGCUAUUUGAAAGUCCCAGGGAUCCACCUGUCUUAGCAGACAUGUGUGCACCACCAUGUCCAACAUGCAGGGACCCAAAUCAGGUCUUCGGGUUUAUAUUUUACCAACUGAGCAAUCUCCCCACACCCAAAAUUAAUAACUUUAAUUUAUUCCCUCAAACAUAUUGAAGAUUUAUUAGGUGCUAAUUAGCUCUUUUCUAGGCACCUCAUAUAAAAUAGUGAAUGAAAGCAGACAAGGGCUCACUUUCUUUGAAGGUUUUUCCGAUCCCAGAAUUAAAUAAUUUCA